rnacentral:rRNA from 1 species
GACGAGCGCUGGCGGCGUGCCUAAUACAUGCAAGUCGAGCGGACGAAUCGAAAGCUUGCUUUUGAUUCGUUAGCGGCGGACGGGUGAGUAACACGUGGGCAACCUGCCCUGUAGACGGGGAUAACACCGAGAAAUCGGUGCUAAUACCGGAUAACACGAAAUGUCGCAUGACGUUUCGUUGAAAGACGGCGCAAGCUGUCGCUACAGGAUGGGCCCGCGGCGCAUUAGCUAGUUGGUGAGGUAACGGCUCACCAAGGCGACGAUGCGUAGCCGACCUGAGAGGGUGAUCGGCCACACUGGGACUGAGACACGGCCCAGACUCCUACGGGAGGCAGCAGUAAGGAAUCUUCCGCAAUGGACGAAAGUCUGACGGAGCAACGCCGCGUGAGCGAAGAAGGCCUUCGGGUCGUAAAGCUCUGUUGUUAGGGAAGAACAAGUAACGCAGUAACUGGCGUUACCGUGACGGUACCUAACGAGAAAGCCACGGCUAACUACGUG